rnacentral:lncRNA from 1 species
UUUGCACCAGGACUAAAUUCUUCUUCUGUCACUUCUUCAUCUUACUCUGCUACUGAUGAAUCCGCCCUCUUCAACUACAAGGCCACGGCAGGACACCUAUGUUUCAAUGUCUCACAACCUUUGCUUUGCCUCCGGAGAGAGUUGUUGAGGGUUCGAGGAACUUGCUUUACUCAAGCUUUCACGUGCCGACUGAGUCCAUCUCUUAAGGAAAGGUGACAUGCAUAGAUAGAGAUUGAAGUAAGGGUUGAACGAAAACCAGUAGGAGAGGAGAUAGUCUUUCUUUUAUCUUAUCAUAUUGACGGUUUUAA